rnacentral:rRNA from 1 species
GGUUAUACAUGUAAUUUAACAGAAAUUUAUUUGGUAGCAAUUAAUAAUUUAUUAAAAGAGUUUAAAUUUAUAUUUAUUAGGUGAAAUUUUAAAUAUAAAUAAAUUUUUGUGUAGUUUAUAAAUUUGAUAAACUUUUUUUUUAAACUAGGAUUAGAUACCCUAUUAUUAAAAGUGUAAAUUUUUUUGCCAGAUUAGUAUUAGUUAUAGUCUUGAAAAUUAAAGAAAAUGGCGGUAUUUUAGUCUAUUCAGAGGAACCUGUCCUGUAAUUGAUGAUCCACGAUUUUAAAUACUUAUUUUUAGUUUACAUAUCGCCGUAGUUUGAAUAUUUUUAUAAAAGUACAAUAUUCAAGAUUUUUAAAAGAAAGUAAAUCAGGUCAAGGUGUAGCUUAUAAAUAAGAAGAGAUGGGUUACAAUAAAUUUAUUUAUACGGAUAAAAAUUUUUAAAAUUUUUUGAAGGUGGAUUUGAAAGUAAUUUUAUUUAAAUUUUUAAGAUGAUUUUAGCUCUAAAAUAUGUACAUAU